CCUACGGGUGGCAGCAGUGGGGAAUAUUGGACAAUGGGGGCAACCCUGAUCCAGCCAUGCCGCGUGUGUGAAGAAGGCCCUCGGGUUGUAAAGCACUUUCAGUGAGGAAGAACGCCUGGUGGUUAAUACCCAUCAGGAAAGACAUCACUCACAGAAGAAGCACCGGCUAACUCCGUGCCAGCAGCCGCGGUAAUACGGAGGGGGCGAGCGUUAAUCGGAAUUACUGGGCGUAAAGCGCGCGUAGGUGGCUUGAUAAGCCGGUUGUGAAAGCCCCGGGCUCAACCUGGGAACGGCAUCCGGAACUGUCAAGCUAGAGUGCAGGAGAGGAAGGUAGAAUUCCCGGUGUAGCGGUGAAAUGCGUAGAGAUCGGGAGGAAUACCAGUGGCGAAGGCGGCCUUCUGGACUGACACUGACACUGAGGUGCGAAAGCGUGGGUAGCAAACAGGAUUAGAUACCCUGGUAGUC
rnacentral:rRNA from 1 species